GACGAACCACACGAACGUUAUUCGGAAUUACUGGGCUUAAAGGGUGCGUAGGCGGCGCAGAAAGUUGGGUGUGAAAUCCCUCGGCUCAACCGAGGAACUGCGCCCAAAACUACUGUGCUUGAGGAAGAUAGAGGUAAGCGGAACUUACGGUGGAGCGGUGAGAUGCGUUGAUAUCGUAAGGAACACCUGUGGCGAAAGCGGCUUACUGGGUCUUUUCUGACGCUGAUGCACGAAAGCCAGGGGAGCAAACGGG
rnacentral:rRNA from 1 species